UGGGCUCAUCUCAUGAGUGCACACUGCUUU
rnacentral:piRNA from 1 species